rnacentral:rRNA from 1 species
UACGGAGGGUGCAAGCGUUAUCCGGAUUCACUGGGUUUAAAGGGUGCGUAGGUGGGCAGGUAAGUCAGUGGUGAAAUCUCCGGGCUUAACCCGGAAACUGCCAUUGAUACUAUCUGUCUUGAAUACCGUGGAGGUGAGCGGAAUAUGUCAUGUAGCGGUGAAAUGCUUAGAUAUGACUUAGAACACCAAUUGCGAAGGCAGCUUGCUAAACAAAUAUUGACGCUGAGGCACGAAAGCGUGGGGAUCAAACAGG